rnacentral:misc_RNA from 1 species
GCAAACUUGGUCAUUUAGAGGAAGUAAAAGUCGUAACAAGGUUUCCGUAGGUGAACCUGCGGAAGGAUCAUUAACGAGAGAAUGGGGUGCCCCCGGGUCCCCGAACUCCCAACCCUUUGCGAACCAAACUUUUGUUGCUUUGGCGGGGCGUGACCCUUAGGGCCCCGUUGGCUUCGGCUGGCGAGUCCCCGCCGGAGAAUCUUUAAAACCUUGCUUUUGAACCGUGAAACGUCUGAGCAUUCUUUGCAAAAAAAAUAAAUAGCGAAAAAACUUUCAACAACGGAUCUCUUGGUUCUGGCAUCGAUGAAGAACGCAGC